AUGCAGGAUAAAAACAUGCCGCUGAACCUCAUACCUGCCGCUGGAAUGAAGUUCACCACGUACAACAAGGCAUGGGACUUUUACAACACUUAUGCAAGAUAUGCAGGGUUUGGCAUACGCAAGAGGGCAAAACACAAGACAAAUGCCUACAUUGUCUGCUCAAGAGAAGGGAUGCACAAGCAGACUGUGUCAGAUUAUGACCGGAAACGUGAGAAGACAUCGAAAAGGAUUGACUACAAGGCAAAAAUUAGAGUCAAAAAGAGGAAGGAUGGCAAAUUUGUGAUAGAAAUGGUUGAACUCCACCACAAUCACAAGAUGUUCGAAAGCCCCGGGAUGCUUUUGCACAUGUGAUCGCAUAAAAGAGACGAUCCUUUGAUUGACCAGUUAGUGAAAGACAUGCUGCUGGGCAACCACACACACGCUCAAAUGAUGUCAAUGUUGUCGCGUAUGUCCGGUGGUCUGCAGUACAUGGGACAUACUAGCCGCGACUGGGUAAACAAGAAACAGAAGUUUGCCAGAGAAGAGUCCCAAGAUGACGUCAAGAAACUUCUGGAUUUCUUCGAGAAGAUGCAGAAGAUAAACCCGGAUUUCUUCUAUGAUUAUGACAUUGAUGCAGAUAACCAUGUAAGAUAUGUCUUUUGGGCCAACGCAAGUAGCAAAGGAUCGUAUGAAGAUUUUGGAGACUGCGUUACAUUUGACAUGACAUAUGGAACUAAGAAAUUCCACAUGCCACUGGGAGUCUUCGUGGGAGUGAACCAUCAUCUACAGAGCACCAUAUUUUUUGUUGCCCUCGUGUGAGAUGAAACAAUACCGUCGUUCGUGUGGGUUUUCAAAACAUUUCUGAGGUGUAUGAACAACAAGCCGCCAAUCUGCAUGCUCACAGACCAGUGUUCUUUGAUGAAGGCAGCAUUAAAAACUAUCCUCCCAGACACACUACAUAAGUUGUGUCGGUGGUAUAUCAUGAAGAAGUACAAAGACCACCUUGCCUUGCUGUAUAAGGCGCACGAGAAACUAAAGGAUGACCUCAAUGCGGUGCUGAACCACCCACUAAUGCCAUUAGAAUUUGAACGGGCAUGGAAGGACCUCAUUCAGAAAUACAACUUGCGUAACGACGAAGUGAUGAAUUCGCUGUGGGAUGACAGACACGAGUGGAUCUCGGCUUACUACAAGGAAAUUUUCUAUGCUCGGAUGAUUUCCACGCAGAGAAGAGAGAGCAUGAACCGCAUAUUGAAGAAAAACUUUGUCAAAGAGAAGCAUGAUCUCCAUCUGUUUGCUUAG
rnacentral:rRNA from 1 species